rnacentral:rRNA from 1 species
CCUACGGGUGGCAGCAGUCGAGAAUCAUUCACAAUGGGGGAAACCCUGAUGGUGCGACGCCGCGUGGGGGAAUGAAGGUCUUCGGAUUGUAAACCCCUGUCAUGUGGGAGCAAAUUAAAAAGAUAGUACCACAAGAGGAAGAGACGGCUAACUCUGUGCCAGCAGCCGCGGUAAUACAGAGGUCUCAAGCGUUGUUCGGAAUCACUGGGCGUAAAGGGUGCGUAGGCUGUUUCGUAAGUCGUGUGUGAAAGGCGCGGGCUCAACCCGCGGACGGCACAUGAUAAUGCGAGACUAGAGUAAUGGAGGGGGAACCGGAAUUCUCGGUGUAGCAGUGAAAUGCGUAGAUAUCGAGAGGAACACUCGUGGCGAAGGCGGGUUCCUGGACAUUAACUGACGCUGAGGCACGAAGGCCAGGGGAGCGAAAGGGAUUAGAUACCCCAGUAGUC